UGGCUCAGGAUGAACGCUGGCGGCAUGCCUAAGACAUGCAAGUCGAACGAGAUAGUCCGAAGAAAGUGGAGUGCUUGCACGAAGCUGGACGCGGGACAACUAUCUAGUGGCAGACGGGUGAGUAACACGUGGGUAACCUACCUUGGUGAUGGGGAUAACAUUUGGAAACGGAUGCUAAUACCGAAUAAGAUACGUAAGUAUUGAAAGUGGCAAUUAAGCCACGCACGAAGAUGGGCCUGCGGCGUAUUAACUAGUUGGUGGGGUAAAGGCCUACCAAGGUGACGAUGCGUAGCCGGACUGAGAGGUUGAACGGCCACACUGGGACUGAGACACGGCCCAGACUCCUACGGGAGACAGCAGUUAGGGAUAUUCGUCAAUGGGGGAAACCCUGAACGAGCAAUGCCGCGUGAGUGAAGAAGGUUUUAGGAUUGUAAAACUCUGUUGUAUAGGAAGAACGUUACUAUUAGGAAAUGAAUAGUAAGUGACGGUACUAUGCGAGAAAGCCCCGGCUAACUACGUGCC
rnacentral:rRNA from 1 species